GGGUGCUAUACAUGCAGUCGAGCGAACGGAUAAGGAGCUUGCUCCUUUGAAGUUAGCGGCGGACGGGUGAGUAACACGUGGGUAACCUACCUAUAAGACUGGAAUAACUUCGGGAAACCGGAGCUAAUGCCGGAUAACAUUUGGAACCGCAUGGUUCUAAAGUAAAAGAUGGUUUUGCUAUCACUUAUAGAUGGACCCGCGCCGUAUUAGCUAGUUGGUAAGGUAACGGCUUACCAAGGCAACGAUACGUAGCCGACCUGAGAGGGUGAUCGGCCACACUGGAACUGAGACACGGUCCAGACUCCUACGGGAGGCAGCAGUAGGGAAUCUUCCGCAAUGGACGAAAGUCUGACGGAGCAACGCCGCGUGAGUGAUGAAGGUUUUCGGAUCGUAAAACUCUGUUAUUAGGGAAGAACAAAUGUGUAAGUAACUGUGCACAUCUUGACGGUACCUAAUCAGAAAGCCACGGCUAACUACGUGCCAGCAGCCGCGGUAAUACGUAGGUGGCAAGCGUUAUCCGGAAUUAUUGGGCGUAAAGCGCGCGUAGGCGGUUUCUUAAGUCUGAUGUGAAAGCCCACGGCUCAACCGUGGAGGGUCAUUGGAAACUGGGAAACUUGAGUACAGAAGAGGAAAGUGGAAUUCCAUGUGUAGCGGUGAAAUGCGCAGAGAUAUGGAGGAACACCAGUGGCGAAGGCGACUUUCUGGUCUGUAACUGACGCUGAUGUGCGAAAGCGUGGGGAUCAAACAGGAUUAGAUACCCUGGUAGUCCACGCCGUAAACGAUGAGUGCUAAGUGUUAGG
rnacentral:rRNA from 1 species